rnacentral:rRNA from 1 species
AUAUUGGACAACGGGGGGAACCCUUAUCCAGCCAUGCCGCGCACGUGACGCAGUGUUCCGUACUUUAAAGCACGCUAUGUUGGUAUGACGGGUAGUCAGACCAUACCUUGUCGUUUUGACGUAUCCUUUAGAAUAAGCACCGGCUAACUUCGCUCCAGCUGCCGCGGUAAUACGACGAGUGCACGCGUUAAUCGGAAUUACUGGGCGUAAAGCGCGCGUAGGUGGUUUGUUAAGUUGGAAGUUGAAGCCCCGGGCUCAACCUGGGAACUGCUUUCAAAACUGGCAAGCUAGAGUAUGGCAGAGGGAGGUGGAAUUUCCUGUGUAGCGGUGAAAUGCGUAGAUAUAGGAAGGAACACCAGUGGCGAAGGCGACCACCUGGGCUAAUACUGACACUGAGGUGCGAAAGCGUGGGGAGCAAACAGG